GGUCGGGUGGCUUAGUGGCAAAGUGCUUGCCUAGCAUGCAGGAAACCCUGGGUUCAAUUCCUCAGUACCA
rnacentral:tRNA from 1 species